rnacentral:tRNA from 1 species
GCCCCGGUAGCUCAGCGGAUAGAGCAGCCGCCUCCUAAGCGGCAGGUCGGACGUUCAACUCGUCUCCGGGGCACCA